UAAGGGCAAAAAAAAUCAUUCAACAAUUUUCUCUAGGGUUUCAAAACCAUUUAAAGCCUUCCUCAGAGAAUUUCAUGUAUCUGGCCAUCUCUGUUUCAGUCAAGGCCAAUUUCAGGGGACAUUGAAAAGCUAACAAGGAGAUUAUAUAAGGUUCGAUGGGUUUCUUUCUCUACUGCUGUUGUGCGUUUUUUAUUUCUUCGCCGCUGCUAUAAGCAGCCACUGCCUCCGCCUUUAACUUCUUGCCCACUGCUGUUAGCCGGGUUCAUCGCAGAGUUUGGUUUCUUUCUCUGCUUUGGGUUUAUUAGUGUUCGUUGGAUUUCACUCUACUGCCGUCCUCAGAGAAUUUCAUGUAUCUGACCAUCUCUGCUUCAGUCAAGGAUUCGUAUUCUUCCUCAGAGAAAGAGCUUGGUUGUCAUAGAAGGAUCAACUCGACUUGGAUUUCCUCUCGCUGAAAUCAAACCUUUAUUUUUCAUUUUCAAGCUCAUCUACCACUUUCUACCGCAAGGGAAAUGCACUGCAAAGACAUUUACAACUCUGAUUGCAUCCUCCUCUGUCCCGCGAUUUGCAAUUCAUGCCCUGUUUUUCGCCACGAAUUGCCCUCAGAAGCAAACACCACCACCGCGCAUGCGCAGCCGCCAUAUUUUUUAUUCUUUCUUUAACACUGACCAUGGAGGAGGAUGAGGAUGUGUCAGGACAUAGAAGACUUCAAAGCUGAUUUGAGAUUGAGAAGGCACAAAGAUGAAGGAGAUUUUGUGUUCAAAGUCAACAAGGGAUCAACAAAUCAAUUAGAGAGUGUGGCGAUUGAAGGCUUCUGAACAAGAACUGCUUACCAGAGAUUCAUGCUUUUCAUUAUCGACCAGAGGUGGCUCAUGUACAAAGGAGGAGACCAAAGAUAUUUGUUUGUUACUCUUUCUAUGCUAUUCGAAUGUAUCUUUGGACAGAAAUUGAUUAAUUUUACUAUUAAAUUCCAAUUGUGUUGAUUUGGUAGGUGUUUUCCAUUGAUAUGUUUCUGAAAGACAAAUUGAUCAACAUGAGCACAUAUCACAUUGAAAUGGACGAAUACUAAAUAGAAAUUGAGAUUUUCAUAUCGACGUGGAAGAGAAAAUCAACGAAAAAGCUCAACGAUCCGAGAUACAUGCACUGUUUGAGAUUGAGAUUUGGAAUAUCUGAAGGUGCGAGAACCAUGGAAAACAAAGAAGGAAUCUAGAGAGACCUCGAGAAAGAGAGCGAUAGAUUAGAAUCGAUGAGAGGUGGCUGAGGUACUGGGUUUUUGGUUGAUCAGAUUUAUGCAACAAUCUCAUAAAUCUAGAAGGUGGUAGUUGGGGCUUAAAGAGAAAGAUGCAGAACUUAUGUCUUUAGGCUCCAUUGUGAUUUGGUUACGACCAGCUAUGAAAUCUGUUUCGCAAGAAGGAUACUACUCUGUUUUUUCUUGCUAAACAAUAAAUGUUGUGGUUUUUUGUUUCUAAGAUACGACCCUAUAAAUUAAAUCUACAUAUUUCCCUUUGGUUUUUGUCUUUGCUCACAGAUUUUGGGGUUUAAAAUGAGGGGAAAUCCCGUCGGCUCCAUGCCCAAAGGUUGUUAGAUGUUGCUUGGAACAUGCAGCCACUGUGACCAAAACCUUCUUAAUGUCAGAUUGCUUAGUUGUUGAGAUAAAGGAAUCAGAGUCUGUACCUGUUGGUUCCCCAUGGGUGGUUCAAGAAUGUAGUUUAAAUGCGGCAUUUGAUGUUUUGCAUGCUGAUACAUCCCCACCAGUUUGAAGCUGUUAAGAGUUCUAAUGUUUCUAUUGAUCUGUCAAUAUUUUGAAUGUAUAAUAUCUAGAAAUAAGAUUUUCCUAUUAUUGUGUAUUCUUGAAGUUCUCAAUUAUAAAAAAGACCCUCGGCCCACAUAGGUUUCAGUAUGAAAUCUAUGCUUUUUUGAGAAAGUUACUAUUUGUUAAAUUUACUCGAAUACCCAUGGUGGAGACUUUAAAUCAGCUUUCUCUCCAAAUUUCUCUUCCCUUUUCUUCCGCGACUCCCUCCCCGUGCCUCUGAUCCUGGCCUCGAUCAUGUUUUCAUUUUUUUCCUUUCAUUUUGAUUGCUGAUUUCUAUACAUCAUUUUUUCAGUCUUCCAGGAGAAUGGUGAAGAUGAAGUAAGUUAAAGGAUCAUCUUUUUAGUCUGAAGGAUUUUUUUUUUCACUUUCUCUGGCGGGAAAGUUGUUCAGGCCAUAGUGGGGUAGCUGCGGAACCAUCACAAAACCUUCCAUGUUGCUACUUGGGAGGGGCCAAGAAACACUAUUGUUCUCCAAACAUAUGCAGUUCUCUCAAGGGCCUUUGACUCAUCUGUUUCAGUUAAAGACCCUCAUUCUUACAAUGGUGUUGACUUAGGAGGAGUUCGUACCAGGGCCUUCUAAAGUUGAUUUCUUCACCUUUUGUAUUAAGUUUUAAUUAACUGGUGAAGAAAUUAUGUUCAAAAAGACAAUAAAGAUUUGAAUUCAAUAUGAUAACUUUUAUUUUGAGUUACU